GAUGAAGACUACCUGAUAAACAACAAAACCUCCAGACUUCACCAGUCCUCAGUCUGGGACAGCAGAAGAAUUAGAUGUCACACACAAACAACAAUGGCCCCAAAAUUUCACCCUGUGGGACAAGCUGCAAUAAUGAACAGGCUUCUUAUAUGACAUUUUGAGAGCUCAUCUACAGAUGUCUAUGAGGUCAUAUGUUGGCAUCCUCAGCACAGAUGUCUCGUGAUUUAGCCCCAGGUUCAGAGGUAAGGCAGACGGUGAAGGCUCACUUGUUGGCAUCUCAGAAGCUCCUGGUGGAUUCCAUGUAUAAUCUGGCCCCGCUGCUGGACUGCAUGCUGUCCACUGAGCUUUUGUCCCAGGAUAACUACCACGAGAUAAAGGCUGAAAAGACCCCGCAAAACAGGGCCCGCAAACUACUGGAGAUUGUCCAAGCUCAGAUGGACGAAAGCGAGGCCAGGCGCUUUCUGGAGUGUCUGAAAGAAUGCAAGCAGCAAUACCCACGACUGCGCAACUGGCUCUCAUCUGAAACAGGAAUCCUGAGUGGACAAACAGAUAUGUCUUUCCAGACUGGAAGCUCUUCCACUGAGCGAAGGUUACAGGCGCAGUUUUAUUCUCUGUGUGGUCGCCUGGGCUCCUCCGUGCUCCCCAUCUCUCUGGCCCUCUUCUCCAGCAGCACCCUGACCCAGUUUGACCUUGAGCGGAUUCAAGCUGCUCCAACCCCAACCCAGCAGACUCAGACCCUGUUGUGUAUUUGUCUGACUAAAGGAGAGAGUGCAUGCAGGAGCUUCUAUGAGGCUCUACACAAUGAGGACGAGCAGUUAGCAGAGGAUAUGAAUGUAACUAGUAUGGUGGAGGGUCUUUCCAUUAGCAGUAAAGCCAGGUCUGAAUCCAGCAAUGUUCCCAUAGCAGUGGAGGAGACCAGAGAUACAGCAGAAGGACAUCUGCCUUACUCAGAGGUUCGGCUCUCUGAGAGGGGCUGCUUAUCCCUGAAGUUGCUCCAGGAGGCUGAAGCUAUCCUGCGCAGCGGCUGCCACAGCCACUUGCACAAGUGGGACCAUCUACAUGAUCAAGAUCACCUGCAUGGGCUGGACCAGCUGCAUGUAACAGACUGCAGGGAACAGUGCAGGGUGUGGACAGUCUUUAGCUUUCUGCUGUGGGACUGCCUGGUUGAAGCUCUGGAGGAGCCUGAGCUAAAGCCCAGUGGUGACAGUAAGGGCCGUAGCCUGACUGGUGCACUGCAGUGUCUGCGGGGUUGUGAGAGAGUGGAGGCAGAUCUACUACAGGAGCUGGAGCUGUGCUGGGAGGAAGGAGGGGCUGAGAACCUUUUACAAAGCAUCAGAGUUCUGGCCCAGAUCCUGAGAGACCUGUACCCUUUUCAAGAUCAUUUCAAGCUUUCAGGACCUUCUGUGGAAGGACUGUACAGCUGUCGGUUUAGUAGGAUCCACAGGGUCACUUCAUUCCAGGGCAUUUCAGCCAGGAUGAUCAAGAAAGCCCUGAACAGUGUUGGCCCUGUCUCAUCACACAGAGACUUGACACAUCGAGCUCAACAGUACAGGGAUUUGUGUCUUCAAAUUGCACGAUUGCUAAAUACGGUACAGCUAGAACGAAGCUCUGGUGAACUCACGAAUGCACCUAUUACAAAUAUCAUCCAGCACAUCUGUCUUACACUUUCAAAACCGUCUUUUAACUCUAGAGCCUUUAACGCAGGAAUUCGUCACCGCUUACUCACUCUAACAGAGUUUAUUCCUACACAGCUGUGCCUGGGCACCCUGAUGCAGCUGCAUCAGGAGACCCUGUCAGAACUUCAGCUCUACCUUCAGCGAGGAGAGCACCACAACUUCCAGUUUGACCCCCAAUCUGUUCAAAUUCUCGGACCGGCGCGUCUGCUUUCAGUCAGCAGUGCCCGGGGACCAACAGCCAUCGACAACGGGGUGGAGGAGGACUUCCGUUUCGUAGCGUCUGAGGCAACUUCCUUCCUGGUGCGGCUUCGCUGUCUUGGCUAUGAGGAAAUUAAAGGGUUCUUCGAGGUUAGUGAGCCACGCUGUUUCUUGGCCUCACAGCUAGGGGAGAAUGGACAUCAUGCCAUUCGCUGGCUAGGAGACGUUCUGGCAGAGGAAGAAAACAAAAUAUGGAUAAGAGAAGGAGGCACAGGAUGGAGGGAAGAACUGGAGACUGUGGCAAGAAGACAUUCCAUUCAGCUCUGCAAUGAGGGCUGCCUCUUCAGGGUCACGACCUCCCAGGAAGAGUGUGAGGUCAAGUUCAUGUACAGGGCUGGUAGGCUAUGGGCUACAGCACAGAAGGACUGUGAAGUGCUUUGAGAUUGGGAAAUUUUAAGCAGUGAUGUGAUAGUCAUUUUCAAAUUACACACCAUAAUGUGGCCUCCUUUACACAUUUAAAAAAAAAAACACCCUACUCCAUGCAGAUAUUUUUCCUGAAAUUGGGCCAAUAUGUGUGUUAACACGCACUCAAUAACAAAAUAUAUUUUUAUGCAUCUGAGUAUUCCAGAAGUCAGUCAAACAACAUACCCUCAUUUCUUAGGCCUAGAUUUGAGUGCUGGAGUUUAGACUACUCAUAUGCAAAUGAAAUGUAGCCAGAUACUUAUCAAAAAAUAAAGCAUGUUUCUGUCUGAAGGGCA
ensembl:lncRNA